rnacentral:lncRNA from 1 species
CCUCAUUAACCUUCUCCAAAGAGCCAUCCGCCCCAGGGCUUCCCCACUGUCACCCAGUUAUACCAUCAUCACGGCGUGUGUCACUGUCUGAAAUGACCUUGUCCAUCUCCUGCUUUCUUGUUAACUGUUUGUCCCUAUCCCACCCCUCACAAUGAGAGCUCCGUCAGAGGGGCCAUCCUGGCUGUGCUGGAUGCCACACUGUGAACGCUGCCCAGCCCAUCGUAAGCGCUCAGGAGAGAGCUGAAGAAUGAGAGAAUGAAUAAGCACCUGCUGGAGCUGCUAGAGAAUUAAACGGGAUGAGGUCCUGGCCAAGCUUGCUGCGCUGACUCCCCCUCAAGCCUUAGAGAAUUUAGACUCCUUCUCCAAGGACACAAUGCUGGAGUCACAGAAUGACCUUAAUUCGUACCUGGUAUAGGAUUUCUGCAUCAAACUGCUCCUUUCCCCCAAGCUUCAGCCUCCCUGUGAAGACAUGGGGCUACUGAAAUUUUACCUUGCUACCUAUUCUCCAGUAUAGCUUUUCCAGCUUGGCCAACCCA